UGGGGAAUAUUGGACAAUGGGGGCAACCCUGAUCCAGCCAUGCCGCGUGAGUGAUGAAGGCCCUAGGGUUGUAAAGCUCUUUUGUGCGGGAAGAUAAUGACGGUACCGCAAGAAUAAGCCCCGGCUAACUUCGUGCCAGCAGCCGCGGUAAUACGAAGGGGGCUAGCGUUGCUCGGAAUCACUGGGCGUAAAGGGUGCGUAGGCGGGUCUUUAAGUCAGGGGUGAAAUCCUGGAGCUCGACUCCAGAACUGCCUUUGAUACUGAAGAUCUUGAGUCCGGGAGAGGUGAGUGGAACUGCGAGUGUAGAGGUGAAAUUCGUAGAUAUUGGGAAGAACACCAGUGGCGAAGGCGGCUCACUGGCCCGUUACUGACGCUCAGGCGCGAUAGCGUGGGGAUCAAAC
rnacentral:rRNA from 1 species